rnacentral:rRNA from 1 species
UUAAGCGACUAAGCGUACACGGUGGAUGCCCUGGCAGUCAGAGGCGAUGAAGGACGUGCUAAUCUGCGAUAAGCGUCGGUAAGGUGAUAUGAACCGUUAUAACCGGCGAUUUCCGAAUGGGGAAACCCAGUGUGUUUCGACACACUAUCAUUAACUGAAUCCAUAGGUUAAUGAGGCGAACCGGGGGAACUGAAACAUCUAAGUACCCCGAGGAAAAGAAAUCAACCGAGAUUCCCCCAGUAGCGGCGAGCGAACGGGGAGCAGCCCAGAGCCUGAAUCAGUGUGUGUGUUAGUGGAAGCGUCUGGAAAGGCGCGCGAUACAGGGUGACAGCCCCGUACACAAAAAUGCACAUGCUGUGAGCUCGAUGAGUAGGGCGGGACACGUGGUAUCCUGUCUGAAUAUGGGGGGACCAUCCUCCAAGGCUAAAUACUCCUGACUGACCGAUAGUGAACCAGUACCGUGAGGGAAAGGCGAAAAGAACCCCGGCGAGGGGAGUGAAAAAGAACCUGAAACCGUGUACGUACAAGCAGUGGGAGCACGCUUAGGCGUGUGACUGCGUACCUUUUGUAUAAUGGGUCAGCGACUUAUAUUCUGUAGCAAGGUUAACCGAAUAGGGGAGCCGAAGGGAAACCGAGUCUUAACUGGGCGUUAAGUUGCAGGGUAUAGACCCGAAACCCGGUGAUCUAGCCAUGGGCAGGUUGAAGGUUGGGUAACACUAACUGGAGGACCGAACCGACUAAUGUUGAAAAAUUAGCGGAUGACUUGUGGCUGGGGGUGAAAGGCCAAUCAAACCGGGAGAUAGCUGGUUCUCCCCGAAAGCUAUUUAGGUAGCGCCUCGUGAAUUCAUCUCCGGGGGUAGAGCACUGUUUCGGCAAGGGGGUCAUCCCGACUUACCAACCCGAUGCAAACUGCGAAUACCGGAGAAUGUUAUCACGGGAGACACACGGCGGGUGCUAACGUCCGUCGUGAAGAGGGAAACAACCCAGACCGCCAGCUAAGGUCCCAAAGUCAUGGUUAAGUGGGAAACGAUGUGGGAAGGCCCAGACAGCCAGGAUGUUGGCUUAGAAGCAGCCAUCAUUUAAAGAAAGCGUAAUAGCUCACUGGUCGAGUCGGCCUGCGCGGAAGAUGUAACGGGGCUAAACCAUGCACCGAAGCUGCGGCAGCGACGCUUAUGCGUUGUUGGGUAGGGGAGCGUUCUGUAAGCCUGUGAAGGUGUGCUGUGAGGCAUGCUGGAGGUAUCAGAAGUGCGAAUGCUGACAUAAGUAACGAUAAAGCGGGUGAAAAGCCCGCUCGCCGGAAGACCAAGGGUUCCUGUCCAACGUUAAUCGGGGCAGGGUGAGUCGACCCCUAAGGCGAGGCCGAAAGGCGUAGUCGAUGGGAAACAGGUUAAUAUUCCUGUACUUGGUGUUACUGCGAAGGGGGGACGGAGAAGGCUAUGUUGGCCGGGCGACGGUUGUCCCGGUUUAAGCGUGUAGGCUGGUUUUCCAGGCAAAUCCGGAAAAUCAAGGCUGAGGCGUGAUGACGAGGCACUACGGUGCUGAAGCAACAAAUGCCCUGCUUCCAGGAAAAGCCUCUAAGCAUCAGGUAACAUCAAAUCGUACCCCAAACCGACACAGGUGGUCAGGUAGAGAAUACCAAGGCGCUUGAGAGAACUCGGGUGAAGGAACUAGGCAAAAUGGUGCCGUAACUUCGGGAGAAGGCACGCUGAUAUGUAGGUGAAGCGACUUGCUCGUGGAGCUGAAAUCAGUCGAAGAUACCAGCUGGCUGCAACUGUUUAUUAAAAACACAGCACUGUGCAAACACGAAAGUGGACGUAUACGGUGUGACGCCUGCCCGGUGCCGGAAGGUUAAUUGAUGGGGUCAGCGCAAGCGAAGCUCUUGAUCGAAGCCCCGGUAAACGGCGGCCGUAACUAUAACGGUCCUAAGGUAGCGAAAUUCCUUGUCGGGUAAGUUCCGACCUGCACGAAUGGCGUAAUGAUGGCCAGGCUGUCUCCACCCGAGACUCAGUGAAAUUGAACUCGCUGUGAAGAUGCAGUGUACCCGCGGCAAGACGGAAAGACCCCGUGAACCUUUACUAUAGCUUGACACUGAACAUUGAGCCUUGAUGUGUAGGAUAGGUGGGAGGCUU